AUAGUACUCCCUCCGUCUGGAAAUACUUGUCCUAAAAGUAGAUGUAUCUAGACUUAUUUUAGUUAUAAAUACAUCUAUUUUAUACAUUUUUAGGACAAGUAUUUUCGAACGAGGGAGUAGUAG
rnacentral:pre_miRNA from 1 species